GUCUCUUAGAAGACAUCCGAUAAAAUUGGAACGAUACAAAGAAGAUUAGCAUGGCCCUUGCGCAAGGAUGACACACACAAAUCAAGAAAUGGUCCAUAUUUUU
rfam:Picea glauca, whole genome shotgun sequence.